rfam:Pneumocystis murina mitochondrion, complete genome.
GUCUACGUGCUGAAAAGGUAGCCAGGACAAACUUAAGAUUUGUUAUCUUAGGAUGUAAGAGUUCAAGUCUCUUCGUAGAUA